GACUCACUUCCUCCGUGGGUAGGCCUCUCACUCCCCAAAUAUGCCAACCGGCUGCCUGUUGGAGUUUCAAGAAGAAGUGAGAAACUGUGUGUACACACAGACACCUGUGAGAGGAGCUCACACAGAUGUGCUAUAGGAAAGUCAGAGGCCUGAGGAUGCUAGGCAAACUUGUACCGCUGGCCAAACUUCUGAUCUAGGAGAACGGACAUUUUGGUUUCCUGAUUUGCUUACUGUGGAUAGAAGGCCGACAACAGUUAUAGUGAACGAGAAGCCUUUCUGAAGGACCAGUAUGGCUGUGCCCAUAGACACGGUAGUGGCUAACCACUCAGCACUGACAGUUCUCUGGAGGCAAUCCAGCACCCUGGAUUUACUCUGUGUGUGCUCCUGGGAGAGGAACAGGCAUCCAAUGAACAAGGGGAGUCAUGGCAAGGCACAAGGCAGCUGCACCAAGCAGAAGGUUUGGAUGCACAGACCACCCAAGGGACAGCCCCAAGCAGCAGGAGAAAACAAAGUGCGUCAGUGGCUUUCCAGAGGCGGACCUGGCCCCAGUGCUGGAAGGACUUGGAACAGCAGCCAUUCUCUUCUGUCCCCAGCCGGCGGCUCUCUCUGUACUACAGCGCCCCCUGCUGUCUGUGUGCCUGCGGUCCCCGCAGCUGAACCGGAACUGUGAAGUGCCAGGUGCAGGUGCUUCAGUGGCUACUCCAAUUUUUCUCCACUCUGCAUGUCAAAUAGUCUAUGAAUAACCGGAAGGGGCCAAUUAGCAGCUCCUCACUCGGCACCCUGACCUCGAAUUCCCAGUCCGGCAUACCCGCACCACCUGUGAUUUUAGUGCCUGCCUGGUGAUCAGGCAGGUGCAGAAACCUAGGAAAUAUUCUUCAAAAACAUGGUGUGAGAUGCCAAUCCAAGCAUACGCAAUUACCAUGUUUUCUUGGUGACUUGCGUGUGCCAGCUAAAUGGGUUACAACUGAGCUAUACCACCAGCAUAUUCAAAAUUUAACUUUCAUGUAUAAUAUUUUUGUGAUCGUAUAUCAAUUAUGUGCCCAUCAUGUCUAUUAUUGGGUUAAAAUAAAAUGAAG